GCAACGUUAGCUCAGUUGGUAGAGCGCUCCACUUGUAAUGGAGAGGUCCCGGGUUCGAUACCCGGACCAGGCG
rnacentral:tRNA from 1 species